rnacentral:tRNA from 1 species
UGCGGUAGUUCAGUUGGUUAGAAUACCGGCCUGUCACGCCGUAGGUCGCGAGUUCGAGUCUCGUCCGCAC